CUGGCAGUGAGACAGAAGGCCUGGAUGGUUUUCUUCAUUGGGACCGGAGAUGGGCAGCUCAUUAAGCUUGCUGUGGACAAGAACUAUCACACCACCUGUCCCAGAGUGCUCUACAGGGCCUCUGACGACCGCCAAGUGUUUCCCAAAAUGCAUCUGGAUCAAGUGGAUCUUAAACACGUGUACCUGCCAUUUCAGAACCAGGUGGGUGCAUUGUACAUGUAUCCAGUCUUGUAUAAAGUACUUAGUAGUUAGAAGUUAAAGUCA
rnacentral:lncRNA from 1 species